rnacentral:rRNA from 1 species
UUGUCUCUCUUGAGUGGAUCCUGAGUACGACGGAGCACGUGAAAUUCCGUCGGAAUCUGGGAGGACCAUCUCCUAAGGCUAAAUACUCUCUAGUGACCGAUAGUGAACCAGUACCGUGAGGGAAAGGUGAAAAGCACCCCGGAAGGGGAGUGAAAUAGAACCUGAAACCGUGUGCUUACAAGUAGUCAGAGCCCGUUAAUGGGUGAUGGCGUGCCUUUUGUAGAAUGAACCGGCGAGUUACGAUUUGAUGCAAGGUUAAGCAGUAAAUGUGGAGCCGUAGCGAAAGCGAGUCUGAAUAGGGCGUUUAGUAUUUGGUCGUAGACCCGAAACCAGGUGAUCUACCCUUGGUCAGGUUGAAGUUCAGGUAACACUGAAUGGAGGACCGAACCGACUUACGUUGAAAAGUGAGCGGAUGAACUGAGGGUAGCGGAGAAAUUCCAAUCGAACCUGGAGAU